rnacentral:tRNA from 1 species
GGCUGUGUGGUCUAGUGGUAUGAUUCUCGCUUUGGGUGCGAGAGGGCUGCGCGAUAUAGUGUGAUAUUCGCGCCGAAGGCG